rnacentral:rRNA from 1 species
GAUGAACGCUGGCGGCGUGCCUAAUACAUGCAAGUCGAGCGAACAGAUGAGGAGCUUGCUCCUCUGACGUUAGCGGCGGACGGGUGAGUAACACGUGGAUAACCUACCUAUAAGACUGGGAUAACUUCGGGAAACCGGAGCUAAUACCGGAUAAUAUAUUGAACCGCAUGGUUCAAUAGUGAAAGACGGUUUUGCUGUCACUUAUAGAUGGAUCCGCGCCGCAUUAGCUAGUUGGUAAGGUAACGGCUUACCAAGGCAACGAUGCGUAGCCGACCUGAGAGGGUGAUCGGCCACACUGGAACUGAGACACGGUCCAGACUCCUACGGGAGGCAGCAGUAGGGAAUCGUGCGCAAUGGGCGAAAGCCUGACGGAGCAACGCCGCGUGAGUGAUGAAGGUCUUCGGAUCGUAAAACUCUGUUAUUAGGGAAGAACAAAUGUGUAAGUAACUAUGCACGUCUUGACGGUACCUAAUCAGAAAGCCACGGCUAACUACGUG